rnacentral:sRNA from 1 species
AAGAUUUCUUCGCGUCCUGGCCAACUUUCUCAUCAUCUGCUGUUUGUGUGGAAGUGGGUACCUCAUUUACUUUGUGGUUAAGCGAUCCCAGCAAUUCUCCAAAAUGCAGAAUGUUAGCUGGUAUGAAAGGAAUGAGGUAGAGAUCGUGAUGUCCCUGCUUGGAAUGUUUUGUCCUCCUCUGUUUGAAACCAUCGCUGCCCUGGAGAAUUACCACCCACGCACUGGACUGAAGUGGCAGCUGGGACGCAUUUUUGCACUCUUCCUGGGGAACCUCUACACGUUUCUCUUGGCCCUGAUGGAUGAUGUCCACCUCAAGCUUGCUAAUGAAGAGACAAUAAAGAACAUCACUCACUGGACUCUGUUUAACUAUUACAACUCUUCUGGUUGGAAUGAGAGUGUCCCCCGACCACCACUGCACCCUGCAGAUGUGCCCCGGGGUUCUUGCUGGGAGACAGCUGUGGGCAUUGAAUUCAUGAGGCUGACGGUGUCUGACAUGCUGGUAACGUACAUCACCAUCCUGCUGGUGGACUUCCUACGGGCUUGUUUUGUGCGGUUCAUGAACUACUGCUGGUGCUGGGACUUGGAGGCUGGAUUUGUAGGUCACCACUUCAUGGACAUUCUGCACAAAGAAAUUUCAGCCAUCCUCUUUGAUACUUAUAGCCAGAUGCAUUCUUGGACAUUUCACUUCUUUGGAGGCUUAAUGACGGUCUCUGCUCUGUGGAGUAGUAAAUUGUUUAAUUUGUAUUUCCUUUAAGGGUCCUAUUUGCCUUCGUAGGGGAAACUGCUUUUUCCCAAUGAAAUGAACAAUGUGACCUUCUAUUCUAGGAAAUGGAGGCAUUUGGCCUAGGGGAAAGUGGACCACACACUCCAGUACUGAGCCGAUGGUUGAUAGGCACCUGAGCAGCCUCAACUCUCAUUAGGGGGACUGAAAUCUGACAGUGGAGGCAAAUAUUUCAGGAAGUUCUGGAACACACCAAGAACACAAUAACCAUUGGUCCUGUCUUCUGGAUGAUGCUUUGAGAAACCUCCUUUGGCUUGUAUUCCCCUUAUAGCCCUCUUCCUCACCUACCUCGUAAAUGUGUGUCACUUCUCUGUAGUGGCCUUCUAUGCUCUGGCAGAACCUCUGGCUCAGGCACCUGUGCUGUACAUGUCUCUCCCGCAACACCUGACUGGCCCAGCCUGCAGUCACUGGUGUGCAUGUAAGGUACCUACCUCUUACCUGAGCUCCUGGUGAGAGGCUCCGUAGGAUGUUGACCUAUGUAGCCCUCAUCCAAGCCUGGCCCAGCCUUCAUAUGCUGAGUUUGAUAUUAGUGGAAAUGUGCUGGGUUUGAUCUUCAACCAAGGAAUGAUCUGGAUGGGCUCCUUCUAUGCCCCAGGCCUGGUGGGCAUUAAUGUGCUGCGCCUGCUGACCUCCAUGUACUUCCAGUGCUGGGCGGUGAUGAGCAGCAACGUACCCCAUGAACGCGUGUUCAAAGCCUCCCGAUCCAACAACUUCUACAUGGGCCUCCUGCUGCUGGUGCUCUUCCUCAGCCUCCUGCCGGUGGCCUACACCAUCAUGUCCCUCCCACCCUCCUUUGACUGCGGGCCGUUCAGGUGCAGAGUCUCAGUUGCGCAGGAGCACCUCCCCUCCGGAGGCAGUCUGCUCAGAGGGCCUUGGCCCAGAAUUCCAGUUCUGGUUUCAUGGCAGUCUGUAAAAGGCCAUGGAACUGUGGGUGAAUCACCGAUGCCAUUUAAGAGGGUUUUCUGCCAGGAUGGAAAUGUUCUGUUAUUUUGUGUCUGUGCUGUUCAUUUCAGUAGCCACCAGCCAGCCACCUGGGGCUGUUGAGUGCUUGAAAUGAGGAACUGAGAAAAUUAAUUUCUUGUGUAUUUUUCUCAUUUGUUUAUUAAUUUUUAAUUGAUAGUUAUACAUAUUUGGAGGUACAUGUGAUAUUUGGAUACAUGUAUACAAGGUAUAAUGAUCAAAUCAGGGUAACUGGGAUAUCCAUCACAUCAAACAUUUUUUUUUAUUAUUUUUUAUUUUUUUUAGACAGCGUCUCACUCUGUUGCCCAGGCUGGAGUGCAGUGGUGCCAUCUCAGCUUACUGCAACCUCUGCCUCCUGGGUUCAAGCGAUUCUCGUGCCUCUGCCUCCCGAGUAGCUGGGACUACAGGCACACACCACAAUGCCCAACUAGUUUUUGUAUUUUUAGUAGAGACGGGGUUUUACCAUGUUGCCCAGGCUUGUCUCGAACUCCUGGCCUCAAACAAUCCACUUGCCUCGGCCUCCCAAAGGUUAGGAUUACAGGCAUGAGCCACCAUGCCUGGCCUAAACAUUUAUCUUUUCUUUGUGUUGGGAACUUUGAAAUUAUACAAUAAAUUAUUGUUAACUGUCAUCUCCCUGCUGUGCUAUGGAACACUGGGACUUCUUCCCUCUAUCUAACUGUAUACUUGUACAAGUUAACCAACCGUACUUCAUCCCCGCUCCUCUAUAUCCUUCCCAACCUCUGAUCACCUCAUUCUACUCUCUACCUCCAUGAGAUCCACUUUUUUAGCCCCCACAUGUGAGUAAGAAAAUGCAAUAUUUGUCUUUUUGUGCCUGGCUUAUUUCACUUAACAUAAUGACUUCCUGUUCCAUCCAUGUUGCUGCAAACGACAGGAUUUCAUUCUUAAUUUCAAUUAAAAUAACCACACAUGGC